rnacentral:rRNA from 1 species
AUUGAACGCUGGCGGCAAGCUUUACACAUGCAAGUCGAACGGUAACAGGGUGCUUGCACCGCUGACGAGUGGCGAACGGGUGAGUAAUGCGUCGGAACGUGCCGAGUAGUGGGGGAUAACGCAGCGAAAGUUGUGCUAAUACCGCAUACGUACUGAGGUAGAAAGUGGGGGACCUUCGGGCCUCACGCUAUUCGAGCGGCCGACGUCUGAUUAGCUAGUAGGUGGGGUAAAGGCUCACCUAGGCGACGAUCAGUAGCGGGUCUGAGAGGAUGAUCCGCCACACUGGGACUGAGACACGGCCCAGACUCCUACGGGAGGCAGCAGUGGGGAAUUUUGGACAAUGGGCGAGAGCCUGAUCCAGCCAUGCCGCGUGUCUGAAGAAGGCCUUCGGGUUGUAAAGGACUUUUGUCGGGGAGGAAAUCCCCAGCGUUAAUACCGCUGGGGGAUGACAGUACCUGAAGAAUAAGCACCGGCUAACUACGUGCCAGCCGCCGCCGUAA